AAGAAAACAUACUUUUAUUUUCUGCUUCUCUAGUUUAAAAUCUACAUCAACGUGUACACAAAACACUGGCAAUUAAAUCAGGCCAAACAAUUUGUUAGUUUCAUUAUAACAAAAAACAACCAUCUUAAUCUUGGAAGAUUGUUGGAAAACAGCUGUAUAGUUUUUUAGGGUUCCAUUUAGGAAACUGAUCAUAGCUUAGAUGAGCAUAACUAAAUGUCAAUACCAUAAAAUCACCAAAAUAGUUUACAUUGAGAAUGUAUCUAUACAACACAAAGAGUUAUAACCGCAUAGAAUUUGGAGAGUCAGUCUGGUUUAUUUUGUGCAUUUUACACUGUAAACAAAUAAUAGAUGAGUUAUUUAAAAAUAUUAUACAGGCUUUUAUGGCAAGAAUGUUUCUGUAAUAUUCUUUAGAGGAAAUUUCCCAGUAAAUUCCACUUUGCUCUUGAAGCACUGUAGAGAAAUAUUCAAGAAAUUAUGAAUGUCCUUUUUUUCUCUUGCUUUUGCAGAUAUAAGACCUUCAGCCUACUCCAUCCAAGGCAUCCAUCUGUCUUCAGAAGAGAUUAGAAUUUUGUUCUGAAGCCAUGCAAAGAGUAAGACCAAGUGCUAACAUCCAAUUUGCAUGUGCCGGGAGAGAAAAUUCUUCAUGGAUCUCUGGUGCUCCUACACAUCUCACUGAUGGAGUAACUGGGGCCAAGGGAGAUUACCAACUUGCCCAAGAUGUCAACAUUAGUAAGAGAAAGAGCCAAAUUUCAAACUCAGGUAGUUUGACUCUACAAUCUGCUAUCUCAACCAGAUUUCCAGCCCAGCUCUUCUCAGUCUUGACACACUGUUUUUCUCAUCAAAGAAUGAUUAACCAUAUUAUUUUGGAAUUGCCUAGGUAAAACUUCCACAUGGCCUGGACAAGACCUCGGAGGUGAUAAAAAUCUUGUAUGACCCUGGGAUUCUCAGAUUUGAAAUCAGAAGGCUCGCUAUUUCAGAAUAAACACAAAGCUAAUAUAGAUAUAGUUGAAAAUUUACAGCCCAAACUUAGACUUAGUUUUGCUUAGCAACUGGACCAAAAUAAUAAACAAGAAGAGAAAUACCUGUUCUCCAGCGAUUUCAUAAAUCUGCCUUCAGUAUAAAUUUUGCAGACAACAUUAAAGAAAGACCUUUGGAGUAGAGCCAAGCCUUUGAAAACCCACUUUAACCUUGUGCUUGGCACUGUGCUAUAAAAAGUUUACUGUGACCUUCCAAAGAAACUGUAAGGGGCCAUUUUGUGGCUCUUAUCUUUUUUUGUUCUCCAUCCCCAGUCUUCUUAAUUACAUUUUCACAUGAACUCUGUGGGUAUUAAAUGAAGCUGGGUCCAUUCAGUAUUUCUGUUCAAUCUUCUCAGAAAAUUGGUUCUGUUUUCUUUGGGCAAUCUAUAGGCAGUUUCUGAUGCAUUUCUCUACCAUUCUGGUAAUGUAUUUAUUUCCCCAGCCAUUUUUCAUAGGGGACACUUCCACCAGUUUAUUUUUUUUUUUUC
rnacentral:lncRNA from 1 species